rfam:Triticum aestivum genome assembly, contig: Triticum_aestivum_CS42_TGACv1_scaffold_558294_7AL
AUUAUACUCCCUCCAUCCGGAAUUACUUGUCGCGGAAAUUGAUAAAAAUGAAUAUAUCUAGAAAUAAAUAUGUCUAGAUACAUUCAUUUCUCUGACAAGUAAUUCCGGAAGAAGGGAGUACGAU